GUUAAAAUCCAUACGCUCAACGUAUGGGCCGCCGGGAAUACUACAAAGCUAGGGAGUGGGAGAGGUAGACGGUACUCGGUAGGAAGGGGUAAAAUCCUUUGAUCUAUUGAUGACCACCUGUGGCGAAGGCGGUCUACCAGAACACGUCCGGCGGUGAGGGAUGAAAGCUGGGGGAGCAAACCGGAUUAGAUACCCGGGUAGUCCCAGCUGUAAACUAUGCAAACUCGGUGAUGCAUUGGCUUGAUGCCAAUGCAGUGCCGCAGGGAAGCCGUUAAGUUUGCCGCCUGGGAAGUACGUACGCAAGUAUGGAACUUAAAGGAAUUGGCGGGGGAGCACCACAAGGGGUGAAGCCUGCGGUUCAAUUGGAGUCAACGCCAGAAAUCUUACCCGGGGAGACAGCAGAAUGAAGGUCAAGCUGAAGACUUUACCAGACAAGCUGAGAGGUGGUGCAUGGCCGUCGCCAGCUCGUGCCGUGAGAUGUCCUGUUAAGUCAGGUAACGAGCGAGAUCCCUGCCUCUAGUUGCCACCAUUACUCUCAGGAGUAGUGGGGCGAAUUAGCGGGACCGCCGUAGUUAAUCCGGAGGAAGGAAGGGGCCACGGCAGGUCAGUAUGCCCCGAAACUCUGGGGCCACACGCGGGCUGCAAUGGUAAUGACAAUGUGUUCCGAAUCCGAAAGGAAGAGGCAAUCAAGAAACAUUACCACAGUUAUGACUGAGGGCUGCAACUCGCCCUCACGAAUAUGGAAUCCCUAGUAACGGCGUGUCAUUAUCGCGCCGUGAAUACGUCCCUGCUCCUUGUACACACCGCCCG
rnacentral:rRNA from 1 species